AGAUUAUACAUUCAACAAUUUCUACCUCCUCCUAAACACCAUGGUUUUGUUACAAGCAAUGAGGUAUUACAAACUCAGCAUUCCAGCACACCACAGGCACUAAUUAUGACAGCACUAUGUGGUCCAUGAGCUUUGCCAGAUCAAAACAAGCACCUCUGUAUUGGACAGUUUCUUCAACUAUUCUUCAAGUGGAAGACCCUUUUAUGAGUUUCUUUGCACAAAACUGAUUUCAGUAUCAUCAGGUGAUGUAAAGCAUCAAUAAAUCUCUAGGAAUGGCCAAAAUUAACAGGAAGCCUGAAGAAUCUGGAAUUACAGCAAUACUGCCAGCUUCUGCAAAGAAGCAACACUUCAUUGUUCACCAAGAGGGUAAUACUAAUGUCCAUGCAUGUUUCAGUCAAAACAUUCUACCCAACUAAUUUCUGUAUUCAUGGAUGGAAAACAACUUGAUAUAAGCACAUUUCUUUUUUUGUGUGGUAGUACAACUUCAUUCAAAAUUCCAUUUGUAAAAGGACUGCAAAAAAUGGCAAAAGGAUCUCCCACAUAUGUGCACACGACCACAUACAGAGCACCUGCCAGAAGGAGCUGACAAAUUUGUGAAAAAGCAGAAAUAAUUUUCCAAGUGAUUCCCGAUAACUGAACAACACCUAUAAAACCAGCGAGGACGAAUGGCCCAAAACCACUUCCAAAAUUCAUAUGGUUCACUGCUCAAUCCACUGGGAACAGAGAACAGAGAGCAUAAUAUGAGACAAAUAAAAUCAGAAGUCAGACUCUUUUAAGAGCUGCCCACAGCAAUAAGAUCCACAUAUCUGUGAAAGCCAACCAUAUAACACAACACUGUCUAUUUUUCUCUGUAAUGCACUUUAACAUAUGGAACACAUGGGAAUCACAGGGCAGCUUUAUAUUUUUUGUGAACACUUAUCUAUACCACUCGUAAAUAUAUCAAGAGGUUCCAUGGCAUCUCUGUAAUGGAAACAGAUAGGUUUUAGGAAAAACUAUAAAGAUGGAUUGUGUGUGGUAUCUUUUGCUGCCAGGAAUAUUUAUUUUACUAUUAUUAUUCCAAGUAUCAAUGCAAAGCAGUUAUUCAAAUGUCCAUAAAAUGAAAAAUC
rnacentral:lncRNA from 1 species